GGGUGCGAUCAUACCAGCACUAAUGCACCGGAUCCCAUCAGAACUCCGAAGUGAAAUGUGCUUGGGCUAGAGCAGUACUAAGAUGGGUGACCUCUUGGGAAGUCCUCGUGUUGCACCCC
rnacentral:rRNA from 1 species